rnacentral:lncRNA from 1 species
CGCCGCCAGGGAGCGGGGCGGGGCCGCGGGCGCCUGCUCCAAUGAGCGGCGCGGGGGGGGCGCGUCCUCCCUUCCCGUGGUGCAUUGCGUCAAGCGGCGGCACUGGCGGCCUCGACUCCAUCCGGGUCCUGGGCACUACUCUGGGUCACCCUGCGGCAGGUUACACAGCAAGUGACCAGUGUCUUCCCAUGAGUCAGGAAGGAUCUUACUUGCUCUUCUUCCUGCAAAGAAGAUGAAGUGGAUGGAGCCUCUUUCAACAGAAUUUCUCAAAAUUCUAUAUUUUGUUUGGAUUAAGUGACUUUAGCAACCACUAGUUGACGCUAGUUCCCCCUUCCUUUUUAAACAAGUGGGAGAAUGGUUUGGUGGGCACAACUUGCAGGUAUUACGCCACAAUCUAGUAAUUAACAUGGAUAAAUUACAAAAAAUCUCGUUUCUGAAAUUGGUGUAAUUUGUUUCAAAGAAAAUGAGAACCAGCUCCUCACGUAAGUACACCCAGUUUAAUCUUUUUAAAUGUGUUCUGGAAGUUCAUUGAAAAUUUUAGAAAUGAUUCGUGCUAUAUAUGAAUGGGUGACAAAAUGAUGAUAGUAUCUGAAGAUGCCAGUCAGGAUCAAGACUCAUUUGUGGUAGUACUUUAAUAAUAUAAUGGAAAACCCUGAUGGAACAGUUUAAAAGGAUGCAGAAAGGAAGGAUGAUUUAAAUGCACUGUAAUUUUACACAGGUUCAAAGUCAUGGUCAUUUUACAUGUAGCUAGCCUACCUAAAGAUCCUGAAUAUCUUUCAGGAGUGAGGAAGUUGUAAUGGGAGGGAGACCACGGAGUACACAAGUGUUGAAGAAAUGGCUGGUGGUGUAGGAAAGUUUGAGGAGUAAUGGGGUGGGGGGAAAUGGGAUGUGCAUGCUGCAGGUGAGUGAAAUUUGGAAGUGGAGGUAUUGUGCAGGGAGUAAUCUUUUGCAGAAUGAUCAAUAAAAUCUUAGUAUUGGGAAUCA